AGUACCGUGAGGGAAAGGUGAAAAGAACCCCGGGAGGGGAGUGAAAUAGAACCUGAAACCAUAUGCUUACAAGAAGUUAGAGCCCGUUAAAGGGUGAUAGCGUGCCUUUUGUAGAAUGAACCGGCGAGUUACGAUAUGGAGCGAGGUUAAGCAGGAUAUGCGGAGCCGAAGCGAAAGCGAGUCUUAACAGGGCGAAAGUUGCAUGUCGUAGACCCGAAACCGAGUGAUCUAGCCAUGACCAGGUUGAAGUUGGGGUAAAACCCGAUGGAGGACCGAACCGACCCCCGUUGAAAAGUUGGCGGAUGAGUUGUGGCUAGGGGAGAAAUUCCAAUCGAACACGGAGAUAGCUGGUUCUCCCCGAAAUAGCUUUAGGGCUAGCGUCGAGGCAGAGUCGCAUGGAGGUAGAGCACUGAAUGUACGAUGGCCCCAUCCCGGGGUACUGAGUAUAAUCAAACUCCGAAUGCCAUGAUGACGUACUCGGCAGUCAGACUGUGGGUGAUAAGGUCCAUGGUCAAAAGGGAAACAGCCCAGACCGCCAGUUAAGGUCCCAAAAUGUAUGCUAAGUGGAAAAGGAUGUGGGGAUGCACAGACAACUAGGAGGUUGGCUCAGAAGCAGCCAUCCUUCAAAGAGUGCGUAACAGCUCACUAGUCGAGUGACCCUGCGCCGAAAAUGUACCGGGGCUAAGCAUACUACCGAAGCUGCGGAUUCAACUUUAGAGUUGAGUGGUAGGGGAGCGUUGCAUGCACGUAGAAGCCGUACCGUAAGGAGCGGUGGAGAGCAUGGAAGAGAGAAUGCCGGUGUGAGUAGCGAGAUGUAGGUGAGAAUCCUACACACCGAUAGCCCAAGGAUUCCAGGGGAAGGUUCGUCCGCCCUGGGUAAGUCGGGACCUAACGCGAGGCCGAAAGGCGUAGUGGAUGGAAAACAGGCAGAUAUUCCUGUACCCGCGAUGGAAAUGAAGGAAUGACGGAGAAGGCUAGUGUGAGCCACUGAACGGAUUGUGGUCAAAGCAUAUAGCAGGCUGACAGUGAAAUGCGUCAGCGGGAUGUAAGAUGUGACAGGUAAGGGAACGUCCUUGGACAAGUACUGAAGCACAUGAUGCCAGCUUCCAAGAAAAGUUUCUAGUGAUAAUUCCAUAGCGGCCCGUACCAAAACCGACACAGGUGGGCAAGGAGAGAAUCCUGAGGUGAGCGAGAGAACUGUUGCCAAGGAACUCGGCAAAAUGACUCCGUAAGUUAGCGAUAAGGAGUGCUCUUGUAAAAGAGAGCCGCAGUGAAGAGGCCCAAGCGACUGUUUAACUAAAACACAGCUCUCUGCAAAGUCGCAAGACGAAGUAUAGGGGGUGACGCCUGCCCGGUGCUGGAAGGUUAAGAGGAUUUGUCAUCCGCAAGGAGAAGCAAUGAAUUGAAGCCCCAGUGAACGGCGGCCGUAACUAUAACGGUCCUAAGGUAGCGAAAUUCCUUGUCAGGUAAGUUCUGACCCGCACGAAAGGCGUAACGAUUUGGGCGCUGUCUCGGCAGCAGACUCGGUGAAAUCUUAGUACCUGUGAAAAUGCAGGUUACCCGCAACUAGACGGAAAGACCCCAUGGAGCUUUACUGUAGCCUGAUAUUGAAUUUUGAUCAAAGAUGUACAGGAUAGGUGGGAGGCGAAGAGACGUGUACGCCAGUAUACGAGGAGCCGCUGUUGGGAUACCACUCUUGUUUGAUUGAAGUUCUAACCUGCACCCAUGAACUGGGUGAGGGACCGUGUCAGGUGGGCAGUUUGACUGGGGCGGUCGCCUCCUAAAGAGUAACGGAGGCGCCCAAAGGUACGCUCAGAUUGGAUGGAAAUCAAUCGACGAGUGCAAAUGCAGAAGCGUGCUUGACUGUGAGACAAACAAGUCGAACAGGGACGAAAGUCGGGAUUAGUGAUCCGGCGGUGCCGAAUGGAAGGGCCGUCGCUCAACGGAUAAAAGCUACCCUGGGGAUAACAGGCUGAUCUCGCCCAAGAGUUCACAUCGACGGCGAGGUUUGGCACCUCGAUGUCGGCUCAUCGCAUCCUGGAGCUGAAUUCGGUUCCAAGGGUUGGGCUGUCCGCCCAUUAAAGCGGUACGCGAGCUGGGUUCA
rnacentral:rRNA from 1 species